GACGAACGCUGGCGGCGUGCUUAACACAUGCAAGUCGAACGAGGUCCACUGCGUAGCAAUACAAGGGAAGACCUAGUGGCGAACGGGUGCGUAACACGUGAGGAACUCGUCCCGGUCUCCUGGGAUAACAGUUGGAAACGACUGCUAAUACCGGAUGACGUCGGAAUCUCGCAUGGGAUACUGACGAAAGGGUUACUGGAUCGGGAGAGCCUCGCGGCCUAUCAGCUUGUUGGUGAGGUAACGGCUCACCAAGGCAUCGACGGGUAGCUGGUCUGAGAGGAUGGAUCAGCCACACUGGGACUGAGACACGGCCCAGACUCCUACGGGAGGCAGCCAGUGGGGAAUCUUGCGCAAUGGGCGAAAGCCUGACGCAGCAACGCCGCGUG
rnacentral:rRNA from 1 species